UUGCCAGCAGCCGCGGUAAUACCGGCAGCUCAAGUGAUGUCCCAUAUUAUUGGGCCUAAAGCGUCCGUAGCUGGCCGACCAAGUCUCCCGGGAAAUCCACCCGCUCAACGGGUGGGCGUCCGGUAGAAACUGGCCGGCUUGGAACCGGAAGGCUCAGAGAGUACGUCCGGGGUAGGAGUGAAAUCCCGUAAUCCCGGACGGACUACCGAUGGCGAAAGCACUCUGAGAAGACGGCUUCGACAGUGAGGGACGAAAGCGCGGGUCUCAAACCGGAUUAGAAACCCCAGUAUCC
rnacentral:rRNA from 1 species